rnacentral:lncRNA from 1 species
UCCACAUGGCACGUUUCCCACACGGAUGUCACUGAAGGGGCCGCUCUCACUGGUCUCCGCUGUUCGUGGCUCACGUCUUUCAUCGCCCGCUCCGCUUUCGCUCUUUUAUCUUUCACUGUGCUCGUUCACUCGGUUACACCGCCGACGUAGUAAUGGGCCAUUAAGAGCUGAGCUCUAAAAUUGCGUAAAAAUAAACAUAACGAAUCCUUUUUAGUUCACAACGCAAAUUUGCUUUUCACUUUGCACCAAUAAGACUGAAAUCUUGUGGCCUAAGAGCAAGAGUCAAUGCAUGAGUAUUGUAUGAAGUCAGAGGAUUGCAGUGCUGCACCAGCAUGCUCACAAAAUGCUGGAACAGCACUGCCCAAAUGCACACCAAAAUGAUAAAACAACUGCCACUCAUCAGUAGCACUCAGUAGAUGAAUGGAAAUCCCUGGACGAGCCAGACUCGUCCUUAGCACAGAA